CAGCAGCCGCGGUAACACGGAGGGUCCGAGCGUUAAUCGGAAUUACUGGGCGUAAAGCGUGCGCAGGCGGUUUGUUAAGCGAGAUGUGAAAGGCCUGGGCUCAACCUAGGAAUAGCAUUUCGAACUGGCGAACUAGAGUCUUGUAGAGGGGGGUAGAAUUCCAGGUGUAGCGGUGAAAUGCGUAGAGAUCUGGAGGAAUACCGGUGGCGAAGGCGGCCCCCUGGACAAAGACUGACGCUCAUGCACGAAAGCGUGGGGAGCAAACAGGAUUAGAGACCCGCGUAGUCCCUGUCUCUUAUAU
rnacentral:rRNA from 1 species